rnacentral:rRNA from 1 species
AUUGAACGCUGGCGGCAUGCCUUACACAUGCAAGUCGAACGGCAGCACGGGUGCUUGCACCUGUUGGCGAGUGGCGAACGGGUGAGUAAUACAUCGGAACAUGUCCUGUAGUGGGGGAUAGCCCGGCGAAAGCCGGAUUAAUACCGCAUACGAACCACGGAUGAAAGCGGGGGGCCUUCGGGGCUUGCGCUGUAGGGUUGGGCGAUGGCGGAUUAGCUGGUUGGGGGGGUAAAGGCCUACAAAGGGGGCGAUAGGUAGCUGGUGUGAGAGGAGGACCGGCCGCACGGGGAGUUGGACACGGCCCAGACUCCUGCGGUAGGGAGCAGUGGGGAAUGUUGGACAAUGGGCGAAAGCCUGAUCCAGCAAUGCCGCGUGUGUGAAGAAGGCCUUCGGGUUGUAAAGCACUUUUGUCCGGAAAGAAAUCCUUGACUCUAAUACAGUCGGGGGAUGACGGUACCGGAAGAAUAAGCACCGGCUAACUACGUG